UAAUAAUGAUGUUGGUGAUGAUGAUGAUGAUGAUGAUGAUGAUUAUCAUCAUCAUCAUCAUCAUCAUCAUCAUCAUGGAGA
rnacentral:pre_miRNA from 1 species